rnacentral:rRNA from 1 species
GACGAACGCUGGCGGCGUGCUUAACACAUGCAAGUCGAACGAUGAAGCCGGAGCUUGCUCUGGUGAAUUAGUGGCGAACGGGUGAGUAACACGUGAGUAACCUGCCCUUGACUCUGGGAUAACUGCGGGAAACUGUAGCUAAUACCGGAUACGACCCUCGGAGGCAUCUCCUGGGGGUGGAAAGAAUUUCGGUCAAGGAUGGACUCGCGGCCUAUCAGCUAGUUGGUGAGGUAAAGGCUCACCAAGGCGACGACGGGUAGCCGGCCUGAGAGGGUGGACGGACACACUGGGACUGAGACACGGCCCAGACUCCUACGGGAGGCAGCAGUGGGGAAUAUUGCACAAUGGGCGCAAGCCUGAUGCAGCAACGCCGCGUGGGGGAUGACGGCCUUCGGGUUGUAAACCUCUUUUAGCAGGGAAGAAGCGAAAGUGACGGUACCUGCAGAAAAAGCACCGGCUAACUACGUGCCAGCAGCCGCCGUAA